rnacentral:rRNA from 1 species
AGUGAACGCUGGCGGUAGGCCUAACACAUGCAAGUCGAACGGCAGCACAGUAAGAGCUUGCUCUUACGGGUGGCGAGUGGCGGACGAGUGAGGAAUACAUCGGAAUCUACUUUUUCGUGGGGGAUAACGUAGGGAAACUUACGCUAAUACCGCAUACGACCUACGGGUGGAAGCAGGGGAUCUUCGGACCUUGCGCGAUUGAAUGAGCCGAUGUCGGAUUAGCUAGUUGGCGGGGUAAAGGCCCACCAAGGCGACGAUCCGUAGCUGGUCUGAGAGGAUGAUCAGCCACACUGGAACUGAGACACGGUCCAGACUCCUACGGGAGGCAGCAGUGGGGAAUAUUGGACAAUGGGCGCAAGCCUGAUCCAGCCAUACCGCGUGGGUGAAGAAGGCCUUCGGGUUGUAAAGCCCUUUUGUUGGGAAAGAAAAGCAGCAGGUUAAGACCCCGCUGUUCUGACGGUACCCAAAGAAUAAGCACCGGCUAACUUCGU